AUUGAACGCUGGCGGCAUGCCUUACACAUGCAAGUCGAACGGUAACAGGUCUUCGGAUGCUGACGAGUGGCGAACGGGUGAGUAAUACAUCGGAACGUGCCCAAUCGAGGGGGAUAACACAUCGAAAGAUGUGCUAAUACCGCAUAAGAUCUACGGAUGAAAGCGGGGGAUCGCAAGACCUCGCGCGAAUGGAGCGGCCGAUGGCAGAUUAGGUAGUUGGUGGGGUAAAGGCCUACCAAGCCGACGAUCUGUAGCUGGUGUGAGAGGACGACCAGCCACACUGGGACUGAGACACGGCCCAGACUCCUACGGGAGGCGGCAGUGGGGAAUUUUGGACAAUGGGCGCAAGCCUGAUCCAGCAAUGCCGCGUGCAGGAUGAAGGCCUUCGGGUUGUAAACUGCUUUUGUACGGAGCGAAAAGGUCUCUUCUAAUACAGGAGGCCCAUGACGGUACCGUAAGAAUAAGCACCGGCUAACUACGUGCCAGCCGCCGCCGUAAUAC
rnacentral:rRNA from 1 species